CAAUUAUUUCAUUUUAAUUAUUAGAUGUAACCUUCAAUAUGGCGGAUUGAAACAGAAAGAGAUCGUCUCUGAGAAUUGAGAUCAUGGACAUAAUGGACUUUCACAUACAGGGAACAGAGACUGCUGAUGAUGAAAACGAUGGAGUUACUAAUAGCAAAAUAGCAGAGGAGGAUUUUAGGAAGAGCUUUGCUGAGAAAUAUUGAAUUAUAUUAGAUACUUCCCCCCCCCAGUAUUGUCCGAGGGCAUCUUUAUUUUCUCUUAGAGUGUUAAUAGAAAAUGUGUUUCAUUUACCCGACACAUUCCCAGAGACUCAAAGUAUCUUGAGGUACGUUAUUCCACUCGUCAUCCUGCCCCUCCCCCACCUCCUCUGGUCUCUCGUACAGCUGUGUGUUUGGUACAAUACAAUAAGCUCUAUAUCCACUAACAGCUAGUGUGAAUCAAACGAUCUCUAAUAUCAGUGGGUGUAGCUUCUGAACAAGCUAGUGUAGUGCUCUGGUACAUAAACAUUUCUCAUUGAUGGAGCUUUGCCUACAAAAAUUGGAAUCGGAUAUCUGCUGUGAGUUUUGUUUGCUAUUUUUAGAACACUGUGUCCUGGACACCACCUGACAGACACAUACCUUGAAAGUUUAAAGAAAGGAUGGCAUUAGAAAAGGAGUUUAAGCUUGAGGUUAUAUUCCCCUGGAAUAGAAGUAUCAUAUCAUCCACUCAAGCAGUCCUUACAACCUGUGAACAAGUACAGGAUUGAGUUAAGUUGGUAUGACUCAUUAAAUUAAUGUGAGAACACUUUUUGUCAAUGUCAACUACUGUAAAACUACAAAUUUUAGCGUGCUACUUAUUUUAGCGAUAUUAGCGAAGAGCCUAAACAUGCUAAAUUUAAUAUUCGCUAAUAAAAACACCCGGUCACGUGAUCACAAAAUGUCGCUGAUACCAUAGAUACAGUAUCUAUGCGAUACUAUACUAGUAGAUGGCUCUCUUCUGCUCGGUUGGCAACACUACCAGAGGAAGGAGAACCCAGUGGAACGACAGCAGCAGCUAACAGAAAAGUGGGAAAGGUUUAAUGAUACGCCAAAUUUAAUAGUCGCUAAUUUGACAUUUAAGCAUAAACGCUAAAUAAAAUAGCCGCUAACAUUAAUAGGUUUACAGUAUUUUUUUAUUAUGUUCUGUUUCUCUACUUUAUUAUGAUUUUAAGCCCUUGCUAUUACACCCAA